CAGUCAUACCAACGGGAAAUCAACCUUUUGAGCUCGGUCUCGUGGGUUUUGAAGAGUUUCAAAGCCUUCGGAUUCGCGGGAUUGGGAUCUCUUGGUGUACUUUUUCGUACGGUUAGUCAACAUCGGUUUUGAAUGUCAUAAAAUGUCUGGAGGAAUGUAGCUUCGAUCUCGUAUUGAAGUGUUAUAGCCUUUGGUAGAUGUGAUGUUUGAGACCGAGGAUUGCAACGGAUACCCUUUAGGGCUAUUCGUCUGAUCUCUGAUACGUUGCCUUGAUGUUGAAAGCUUGCUUAUGAUGUUAGGGUAUUACGGUCAAAAGGUUAGAACGGAUUAGA
rnacentral:rRNA from 1 species